CAGCCGCCACGGUAAUACAGAGGGUGCGAGCGUUAAUCGGAUUUACUGGGCGUAAAGCGUGCGUAGGCGGCUAAUUGAGUCGGAUGUGAAAUCCCCGAGCUUAACUUGGGAAUUGCAUUCGAUACUGGUUAGCUAGAGUGUGGGAGAGGAUGGUAGAAUUCCAGGUGUAGCGGUGAAAUGCGUAGAGAUCUGGAGGAAUACCGAUGGCGAAGGCAGCCAUCUGGCCUAAUACUGACGCUGAGGUACGAAAGCAUGGGGAGCAAACAGGAUUAGAUACCCCUGUAGUCCCUGUCUCUUAUAC
rnacentral:rRNA from 1 species